rnacentral:rRNA from 1 species
CCUACGGGAGGCAGCAGUGAGGAAUAUUGGUCAAUGGGCGCGAGCCUGAACCAGCCAAGUCGCGUGAGGGAGGACGGCCCUACGGGUUGUAAACCUCUUUUGCCGGGGAGCAACGGGCGUCACGUGUGGCGCCACUGAGAGUACCCGGAGAAAAAGCAUCGGCUAACUCCGGGCCAGCAGCCGCGGUAAUACGGAGGAUGAGAGCGUUAUCCGGAUUUAUUGGGUUUAAAGGGUGCGUAGGCGGAUCGUUAAGGCCGUGGUCAAAUUGAGGGGCUCAACCCCUUCCCGCCAUUGAAACUGGCGUUCUUGAGUAGAAGAGAAGUAUGCGGAAUGCGUGGUGUAGCGGUGAAAUGCAUAGAUAUCACGCAGAACCCCGAUUGCGAAGGCAGCAUGCCGGCUUCCGACUGACGCUGAAGCACGAAAGCGUGAGGAUCGAACAGGAUUAGAUACCCUUGUAGUC